CUGGUGGCUACUGCCGUGACGGUACGGGCUCUCUUCUCUUCUUGGGACAGCACCCGGAUCAGGGAUCCGAACGAAGUAAGAGAAGCAGAAAGGUUGCAGAACGGGCUGGCUGAAAAUCGCUGUCAACGAGCAAAUGGAGGCCCACCAUCUCAGGAACGUUCCAUUGGAGCCAAUACAGCUAGGGCGGAUGGGUCGCCUUCAAAUCUGCACCGCAUACAUGAAGCAUUGCAAGGACCCGGCUGGUGGCCCUUCGGCUGUUCGCGUAUCUCCUCUCCGACCCUCGGCGCCGCGAGGUCUUGAAUUGCCGGCAAUAAAUGGCAUCGCCUUGCUACCGUG